rnacentral:rRNA from 1 species
UACGUAGGUGACCAGCGUUGUCCGGAUUUACUGGGCGUAAAGAGCGCGCAGGCGGUCGUUCAAGUCGAGUGUGAAAGCCCCCGGCUCAACUGGGGAGGGUCACUCGAUACUGAUCGACUUGAAGGCAGGAGAGGGAAGCGGAAUUCCCGGUGUAGUGGUGAAAUGCGUAGAUAUCGGGAGGAACACCAGUGGCGAAGGCGGCUUCCUGGCCUGUUCUUGAC